rnacentral:rRNA from 1 species
GGGACAACAUUUGGAAACGAAUGCUAAUACCGCAUAACAACUUUAAACACAAGUUUUAAGUUUGAAAGAUGCAAUUGCAUCACUCAAAGAUGAUCCCGCGUUGUAUUAGCUAGUUGGUGAGGUAAAGGCUCACCAAGGCGAUGAUACAUAGCCGACCUGAGAGGGUGAUCGGCCACAUUGGGACUGAGACACGGCCCAAACUCCUACGGGAGGCAGCAGUAGGGAAUCUUCGGCAAUGGACGAAAGUCUGACCGAGCAACGCCGCGUGAGUGAAGAAGGUUUUCGGAUCGUAAAACUCUGUUGGUAGAGAAGAACGUUGGUGAGAGUGGAAAGCUCAUCAAGUGACGGUAACUACCCAGAAAGGGACGGCUAACUACGUGCCAGCAGCCGCGGUAAUACGUAGGUCCCGAGCGUUGUCCGGAUUUAUUGGGCGUAAAGCGAGCGCAGGUGGUUUAUUAAGUCUGGUGUAAAAGGCAGUGGCUCAACCAUUGUAUGCAUUGGAAACUGGUAGACUUGAGUGCAGGAGAGGAGAGUGGAAUUCCAUGUGUAGCGGUGAAAUGCGUAGAUAUAUGGAGGAACACCGGUGGCGAAAGCGGCUCUCUGGCCUGUAACUGACACUGAGGCUCGAAAGCGUGGGGAGCAAACAGGAUUAGAUACCCUGGUAGUCCACGCCGUAGACGAUGAGUGCUAGAUGUAGGGAGCUAUAAGUUCUCUGUAUCGCAGCUACGCAAU